AUUGAACGCUGGCGGCAGGCCUAACACAUGCAAGUCGAGCGGAUGAAGGGAGCUUGCUCCUGGAUUCAGCGGCGGACGGGUGAGUAAUGCCUAGGAAUCUGCCUGGUAGUGGGGGAUAACGUCCGGAAACGGGCGCUAAUACCGCAUACGUCCUGCGGGAGAAAGUGGGGGAUCUUCGGACCUCACGCUAUCAGAUGAGCCUAGGUCGGAUUAGCUAGUUGGUGGGGUAAAGGCCUACCAAGGCGACGAUCCGUAACUGGUCUGAGAGGAUGAUCAGUCACACUGGAACGGAGCCACGGUCCAUGCUCCUACGGGAGGCAGCAGUGGGGAAUAUUGGACAAUAGGCGAAAGCCUGAUCCAGCCAUGCCGCGUGUGUGAAGAAGGUCUUCGGAUUGUAAAGCACUUUAAGUUGGGAGGAAGGGCAGUAAGUUAAUACCUUGCUGUUUUGACGUUACCAACAGAAUAAGCACCGGCUAACUUCGUG
rnacentral:rRNA from 1 species